UCCAUCUUGUUUUUGUAGCAUUUGAAUCUACCGCUGCUACAGUCCGCCGACAACUUUCUCAUGUGUCAUGCGAUCUCUGACGUCACAGUUUCAUUGAUCGCUUGAUCGAUAGUAGCGCUAGUUGUCGUCUGCUUCUUUCAAUGUUUUCUAGUUUAAUAUUCGUCUAUAAGUAUUUUGAAUUGUAUUUUCAUUGUUUUUGAACCUCCUUUGGUAUACUUCAACAGUCACUUCAACCUCAACACCUUCAGUUCGCUUAAUAUCGAUUUUAUAUGUUCACUUCAUUCGUAGAGUUUGUGCUCAUGACUGCCGUGGACGUCAUGUUUCCGCUAUUUGGGCAGUUCCUGUUUCUUCAACCAGCAAGCAAGAAGGGUCACUUCUUUUGUACAGUCAUACGAUGUAACAUCUCAAUUUAACGCGUCCAUCUUUGGAAAACUUUAUCCAUUUUCAUCAUUCAUUAUGUCCUAGUUUGUGUGCUUAUUCAAGAACCAUUCAACGCAUUUUUCAUCAGUGAACGUUUUUCAACCAUAUUUUCUAUGAAUUUAACUUACCUUUCGGGACUUUUCUACUAAGCGUCCUUUUUUGCAAUUCACGCCAUGCUUUCUGCGUACAACGUUUUUCAAUUAUUCAUCACAUUAUUAUUAUGAACUGUAAGUAAUUUCAACAUGAAUUCCACAUGAACUUUCAACAAUCCUCAAUAUGAACUUUUGAUUUAUUAUUUAUCACUUCAAUUUUACUGAGCAUCAGUACACACUUUUUAGCGGUUACAUUCAUUCAUCUUGUAUGCUCAUAGGAGAUACAUUUUUCAACUUGGGAAGUCUUGUGCAAGUGCAGCUUACCUUAUUCAAUAUUUCAACUCAGGAAAUUUGCGCAAGUGCAGUUUGCCUUUCAUUGUCAACCGCUACUCAUUUUUAGCUACUCAGUCUUAGCUACUCAUCAGUUAUUUAGUCGAACUUUGUCAAUCUCAAUUCUUACUGAUGCCAGUGAUUUCAUUCGUCAAGAACAUUUUAUCUCUUUUUUCAAAUAUUUAUUCACUGCAAUUACAUCAACUUUAGGACAUAACCUCAAACAUUAAAUUAUUCUACUUAACUCAUGGUGGAACCUUUUUUCCAAUUAACAUUCAACCAGUGAAACUCAUUCAAUUUGUGAAGUGCCCAUUCGUCGUUAUAUUCAUUAUCAAUUUUAAUAUUGGAACAGUCUCAACUUUCAAUAUCUCAACGUACUCAAAUCAAGUUCUCUUCCGCAUCGGUCAUCGUUUAUCAGGAUAUAAUCAAGAUAUCUUCAUCGUUCAACUUCUAUUAGCCCAGCAGCUGUCUGCAACUACAAUGUACUUGACAGGAGUCAAGUUCCAUCCUCGGAUUUUGAGUCACCGUAGGCCUAUCACUUUGGCAACACAUCAUUAAUUAUUCAGGGAAGUCUUAUUCUAUUAUUCACAUUUUUGUACUUACCCUCUCAGAGGCACUGUGUUUACUGGUAGUCUUCAUCCCAUCAAUUUUGUUCCUGAUUAACUUUUAUUCCUAAAUAAUAACUAUUUUAAUACGAUCAAUCAUUCAAUUUUUUAUCUUCUAUUAUUAUUAUUACUUAUGUGUUCUACAUAUAGUAAUAUUCCCCAUGUAACUUGACAUGCGUUAAGCUGUCAUUUCCCAGCCCGCUUAUGUAAUACAAUAUGCUGAGCUUUGUCUCCUUUCAAUAUUGUAUUUGGUAUUUUUCAACCUUUUCUAUUUUUAAUUAUUAAUCGAACCUUCAGUUCUGGACAGACUUUCUGCUCCUUCUGCUUACAUUAUAGCCAAGUUGCUAUAUUUGUCCUCUUUCAGUGUUACAUAGUCAACAGCUUGAAAGCUUCAGGUACGAUUGGAUUCUACCUAAACUGAAUUCCUAGUUUUCAUUUGUUGUGAAAUUAGGUAAUUGUUCAUAUUCAUAUAAUUUCUGUUUUUUCUUACCUUUAAGAUUACUAAGAAUUUUGCAGGACUUUUAUCUAGGAUUUUUGUCUCUCGACUGUUUUUAUUAGUCAGGUUAAGAUUAUUCAUUUUUAAACAUUGCUAAAUUUUGUACGUUCAAUUCAAUCAUUACUCAUUGUCAUUAUUGUUCUAUUAUUAGUUUCAGCAUCAAUAUACUCUUUUGUGUAUUUCAACAUUAACAUUGAUAUCCCAACUUAUCUUUGUAUUUUACUCAAUCUUUUGCGCUCACAGAGGUAACAUCGUUUUGAAACAUUGUAUCAGUAUUCUUAAACGUACUAGCAAAAAGUCUAGGUACAAUAAACUACUUGAGUGCAUU
rnacentral:lncRNA from 1 species